AGUUCUAUAAUAACUGGAGCGGCUAUUUCAAACCAGUGAACUCAAUAUUAAAAUAACUGGAAUGAUAACUGAAGCCAAAAAAUAUUUGUCGUCAUUAUUCGU